rnacentral:lncRNA from 1 species
AUACUUUGUAGUGCCAACAGACAGAUCCAAAAUUACACUGUGACUCAUUCAUAAGGCAUUCAAACAUUUUUAUUUUCUUAAAAUGUCUGAGGUUUGAAUCAUCCAAGGCUCCAUCAAAAGAAGAAGAAAGCAAGCACUUUCUCCUUUCAGACAAGAGGUUUUGAGGAGAGGCUAUGUACUUCACCAGUCAACGCGGGAACGGGUGGAAUUCAAAGCCGCAGAUUCAAAAGCAGAGGAAUUAUUUCAAGAUAAUGUCAAAAACUCAGUGGCAACGAUGAAUCGUGGAAGAUUUCUUUCAAUUUUGUCCGAAAUCUUUGCCUCUGCUGACGCCCAAGGAAAUGGUAAGGAUUCAGCAAAAUAACAGACGGAAAUUCUUAUCUGGCAAUUGUUCGCUUAAAAGCCAGU